rnacentral:rRNA from 1 species
CCUACGGGUGACAGCAGUGGGGAAUAUUGGGCAAUGGAGGCAACUCUGACCCAGCAACGCCGCGUGAAGGAAGAAGGCCCUAGGGUUGUAAACUUAUGUUGUAAAGGAAGAAAAGAAUGACGGUACUUUACAAGAAAGCCUCGGCUAACUAUGUGCCGGCAGCCGCGGUAAGACAUAGGGGGCAAGCGUUGUUCGGAAUUACUGGGCGUAAAGGGAGCGUAGGCGGGAGAUUAAGUUAAGAGUGAAAGCCUUGGGCUCAACCCAAGAAAUGCUCUUAAUACUGGUGUUCUAGAGUGUAGGAGAGGUAAGUGGAAUGCCUGGUGUAGCGGUAGAAUGCAUAGAGAUUAGGAGGAACAUCAGAGGCGAAGGCAGCUUACUAAACCAUGACUGACGCUGAGGCUCGAAAGCGUGGGGAGCAAACAGGAUUAGAUACCCGUGUAGUC